GACGAACGCUGGCGGCGUGCUUAACACAUGCAAGUCGAACGGAAAGGCCCUGCUUUUGUGGGGUGCUCGAGUGGCGAACGGGUGAGUAACACGUGAGUAACCUGCCCUUGACUUUGGGAUAACUUCAGGAAACUGGGGCUAAUACCGGAUAGGAGCUCCUGCUGCAUGGUGGGGGUUGGAAAGUUUCGGCGGUUGGGGAUGGACUCGCGGCUUAUCAGCUUGUUGGGGGGGUAGUGGCUUAACAAGGCUUUGACGGGUAGCCGGCCUGAGAGGGUGACCGGCCACAUUGGGACUGAGAUACGGCCCAGACUCCUACGGGAGGCAGCAGUGGGGAAUAUUGCACAAUGGGCGGAAGCCUGAUGCAGCAACGCCGCGUGCGGGAUGACGGCCUUCGGGUUGUAAACCGCUUUCGCCUGUGACGAAGCGUGAGUGACGGUAAUGGGUAAAGAAGCACCGGCUAACUACGUG
rnacentral:rRNA from 1 species